rnacentral:misc_RNA from 1 species
GAGAAAGUGUAAAUAUAUAUAUAUAAUUCAAUUAUUUCAUUGCUGCAUGCAUGAAAAAACUUUUGGAAGAUAUACAAAUACAUCACUCGUUAAUAUUUGUACAUAAUAUAUAUACCAGACUAUACAUGCAGAUCUGUGAUCUUCUUUCGAAGAUCUCCUAAAAAUUCCCUAUAAUUUUCACCUUGCAAUCUCAUAAGUUGAAAAACAAAAAACUGGAUCAAGAAUUUUUUUU